CGUAGGUGGCAAGCGUUGUCCGGAUUUAUUGGGUUUAAAGGGUGCGUAGGCGGCUUUGUAAGUCAGUGGUGAAAUAUGGCAGCUCAACUGUCAGGGUGCCAUUGAUACUGCAGAGCUUGAGUACAGAUGAGGUAGGCGGAAUUGACGGUGUAGCGGUGAAAUGCUUAGAUAUCGUCAAGAACACCGAUAGCGAAGGCAGCUUACUAGGCUGUAACUGACGCUGAGGCACGAAAGUGUGGGGAUCAAACAGGAUUAGAUACCCUGGUAGUCCACACUGUAAACGUUGAUGACUCGCUGUUGGCGAUACACGGCCAGCGGCAGAGAGAAAUCGUUAAGUCAUCCACCUGGGGAGUACGCCGGCAACGGUG
rnacentral:rRNA from 1 species